ensembl:lncRNA ZBTB44-DT ZBTB44 divergent transcript
CUGUUCUCUGGGACUGAAUGCGGCUGCAUCCUUCCCUUCCUCUGCUUCCUGUCCCGAUCUGGUUUCUGAGUCCCUGGGCUGCAGCUGUUGAAUUUCCAGACACAAACAAGUAUGCGUUCUGAGAGCCUCGCCGAGCCCACACAACCGGGAGAGCCAAGCUGGAUUCCAUUCUGCUUUGCACAUCAGCAGCUCUGCUGCCAGCUGAACUCCAGGGCAAAAGCUGUGCCUGGUAAUGAUGCAGGCAGCAGGGAUGGCACAGCUGGCCUGGCUUAGGCCGUUAAGGGGGACACGCUUGGCCUUAUUUGGGGGAGAGCGAGAAAUGGAAGGCGAUGAAGAGUUGCGGAAGCAUACAUCAGCCUCCACAAAACUGGUGCACAGCAGGGAAACAAUCUGGUUUUGCUAGUCAUCAACAA